GCUCGCUUCAGCAGUGCAUAUACUAAAAUUGGAGCAAUACAGAGAUUAGCAUGGCCCCUGCGCGAGGAUGACACGCAAAUUCAUGAAGCAGUCCAUAUUUUA